rnacentral:piRNA from 1 species
UAAAAGUUUAUGGCCACAAAUUCCUACCUC